rnacentral:rRNA from 1 species
CCCUAAGUGGGCCUGAAAGCAGCCACCUUUAAAAAAAGCGUUAUAGCUUAUGUUCGCCACCUUAAAAAAAUUCCAUUUAUACUUACGAACCCUACAUUAGUAAUGAAUAACCUUAUACAAUUAUAAGAGUUUUUAUGUUAAAACUAGUAACAUGAAGAAACCCUUCUCCCAAAUGCAAGUAAACGCCAAAACGGAAAAACCAUUGGCACUUAACGUUUUUGAACUUAAUAUAGCAACUUCCCCAGAAAACCCUACUCUAUGUCACGUUAACCUUACUCCAGAGCAUUCCUGGAAAGAUAGAAAGAAAAAGAAGGAACUCGGCAAAUCUAAAUCUCGCCUGUUUACCAAAAACAUCGCCUCUUGACAUAUACUAUAAGAGGUCUAGCCUGCCCAGUGACAGCAAGUUCAACGGCCGCGGUACUCUGACCGUGCGAAGGUAGCAUAAUCACUUGUUCUUUAAUUGAGGACUAGUAUCAACGGCAUCACGAAGAUUUUACUGUCUCCUUUUUCUAAUCAGUGAAACUGAUCUCCCCGUGAAGAAGCGGGGAUAACCCUAUAAGACGAGAAGACCCCAUGGAGCUUUAAACCCAAUGACACCCCAACCCCUUAUUUUUCCCCAGAAUUCAUAAGCCCUGUCCAUUGGUUUUAGGUUGGGGUGACCGCGGAGUAUAACACAUCCUCCACAACGCACGGACCUUCCUCCUUAUCUUAGAGCCACACCUCAAAGAAUCAAUAAAUUGACGUAAUAUGAUCCAAUAGUUUUGAUUAAUGAACCAAGUUACCCUGGGGAUAACAGCGCAAUCCAUUUUUAGAGCCCUUAUCAACAAAUGGGUUUACGACCUCGAUGUUGGAUCAGGGUAUCCCAGUGGUGCAGCCGCUACUGAUGGUUUGUUUGUUCAACAAUUAAAACCCUACGUGAUCUGAG